rnacentral:rRNA from 1 species
CCUACGGGUGGCUGCAGUGGGGAAUAUUGGACAAUGGGCGAAAGCCUGAUCCAGCCAUGCCGCGUGUGUGAAGAAGGCCUUCGGGUUGUAAAGCACUUUCAGUGGGGAAGAAAGCCUUGGGGCUAAUACCCUCGAGGAAGGACAUCACCCACAGAAGAAGCACCGGCUAACUCCGUGCCAGCAGCCGCGGUAAUACGGAGGGUGCGAGCGUUAAUCGGAAUUACUGGGCGUAAAGCGCGCGUAGGCGGUCUGAUAAGCCGGUUGUGAAAGCCCCGGGCUCAACCUGGGAACGGCAUCCGGAACUGUCAGGCUAGAGUGCAGGAGAGGAAGGUAGAAUUCCCGGUGUAGCGGUGAAAUGCGUAGAGAUCGGGAGGAAUACCAGUGGCGAAGGCGGCCUUCUGGACUGACACUGACGCUGAGGUGCGACAGCGUGGGUAGCAAACAGGAUUAGAUACCCCGGUAGUC